CUAUAAAAAGCAGCAAACAUUCUGCUUUUGCCUUUGUUCUUCUAGUGGAUGAAUUCCUAGAAGGAGUUAUAAAAUAAAGGCAGUCUGUACAGGAGGAGUAAAGUUUAGUUCUGUAAAACUAGCUUAGAAAUGUUCUGUGCUGGCAGCUUUGAGGUGAUCUGCUGGAAAUGUGAAUCAGUGAACGUCUACACAUAGGAUCGUGGUGCCUGUGCAAAUAUGAUGUGUUGUUAUUAACUGAAGAGAAGGGGCUGCUGCCUCACUUGAUUUUAUCAGUGAAGAGUUUGAUGCAUUUAAAGUUGCUUGAUUUUUAUUUAUAAAUGACUGUGUGUUAUCAUCAGUUGAUGAUGACUCCUUAAUAAGCUGAAGUGGUCAUUGCUUUAAAAGCACUGGCUUUCCUGGGAAGAUACUGGAGUCAGUAGUAUGCGACUAUUAAAUUUAUAUCAUAAACAUUUCCAAAAACAUUUUAAUAAACUAACAAUUGUAGGUACCGAGUUUGGUAGAAAAAUAAUCAUUGAGUAAUAUUAUUUGACUUUAAAAUUCCAUGUUCCAUAGAGGUGUUCCAGCAUUCAUGUUUAUUUUCACAUUUCCUUUUGCUAUUGUUUCCAAACUUGAAUGGAUGUGAGGGAGCAAAAGUGACUGCUUUCCUGACUUGAUUGUUUCAUCUCUCAGUCACUAGAUGGUGCCAUUUCACUUCUCUGGAAACUCUUACAAAGGUUAAGAGUUGUUGAUCAUGUUUCUAAAAGAAAGCAAAAUAAUUGGACUUUUGAGUCCUUUUUUGGAAUUACUGCUUUUUUCCAUGACCAUGGAGUAUGUGUAUUUUGCUCAACUAAAACUGAUGUAUUAAUGAGAAUGUGCAGAAUUUCCAAGUUCUUUCAAGUUGUCAUAAACUUUUAGUUUGACAUUUGUUUACAUCUUUUUUACUGACUUCUAUAAUGAUUUGAUAAAAACACAUUUUAAAUGUAGAAUUGUUUGAGGGUCUUUUUACCUUUUCUUCCAUGAGGUCUAGGUAGGCACUUGCACCUAAUGGGAAUUAUCAUCUGGAUUACUUCAGUUGAGAUACCCAGGAUGUUGCAUGCAAAAGAGAGUGAUUGAUCCAUGUUUGCAGUCAGCUGAGCUGAAUGAAAAUGUUGCUCUUCUAGAAGAAAUAAGAAAAUCCAAAGAAACACCAUAAAAAUUUAUUAUCAUUUCUUGACUUUAAACACCUGCAUUCAAAGAAUAAAAAUGAAAGGAUUCAAAAAGCAAGUAGAAGCAGCAGUGCUAGCAAAGAGAACAAGAAAAAUAACAAAUGGCAAUUGAGAAACAGAAAAACAGGGUAAGUUUGUUACCGACCCAGCAUGCUUGUUCUGCUCUGUCUGGAAGGGGAGUCUCAUUUCCUAACUUGUGGGAGCAGUCAGUACUUAGACUGGAAAGUCAUUUUGUGUUCUCCACAGUGCU